GGAGUGGUAGUUCAGCUGGUUAGAAUACCUGCCUUCACGCAGGGGGUCGCGGGUUCGAGUCCCGUCCAUUCCGCCA
rnacentral:tRNA from 4 species